rnacentral:tRNA from 1 species
GCAUUGUUGAUUCAGUAGUAGAAUUCUUGCCUUCCAUGCAGGAGACCCGGCUUUGAUUCCCCACCAAUGCA